UACAUGGGGUGCAAACGUUGCUCGGAAUUACUGAGCGUAAAGCGCGUGUAGGCGGCUCGGAAAGUCGGAUGUGAAAGCCCUGGGCUUAACCUAGGAAGUGCAUUCGAAACUCUCGAGCUUGAGUUCUGGAGAGGAAGGCGGAAUUCUCGGUGUAGAGGUGAAAUUCGUAGAUAUCGAGAGGAACACCUGCGGCGAAGGCGGCCUUCUGGACGAUGACUGACGCUGAGACGCGAAAGCGUGGGGAGCAAACAGG
rnacentral:rRNA from 1 species